CAGCCGCCGCGGUAAUACGUAGGUGGCAAGCGUUGUCCGGAAUUAUUGGGCGUAAAGCGCGCGCAGGCGGAUAGGUCAGUCUGUCUUAAAAGUUCGGGGCUUAACCCCGUGAUGGGAUGGAAACUGCCAAUCUAGAGUAUCGGAGAGGAAAGCGGAAUUCCUAGUGUAGCGGUGAAAUGCGUAGAUAUUAGGAAGAACACCAGUGGCGAAGGCGGCUUUCUGGACGAAAACUGACGCUGAGGCGCGAAAGCCAGGGGAGCGAACGGGAUUAGAUACCCGCGUAGUCCCUGUCUCUUAUACA
rnacentral:rRNA from 1 species